CCUUGAAGGAAGAACUGACAAAUGGUCAUGGCGACGGUGUCGCGAACGGAGCGGUCUUCACUUAGCACCCUCGGCGAGCAGAUCCCAGAGCAACCGGAGGUCCCGGCUCCGCUACUGUGAUGUCAUCUUCUUGCGCCUGAUUCAGUCCAAAUUCUACAUUAUGAAAAGCAAUUUCUUGGACUUCGUUGGUGACUUGGUGGUCUGCCAAUGCAGGAGACAUGGAUUUGAUCCUUGACCCAGGAAGACCCCACAUGCUGCAGAGCAACUACGCCUGUGUGCCACAACUACUGAGCCUGAGCGCUGGAGCUCAGGCUACGAUUACUGAAGCCAUGUGCUCUAGAACCUGUGCUCCGAACCAGAGGAGCCUGCGCACCAUAACGAGAAAGUAGCUCCCGCUCGCCACAACUGGAGAAAAGGCUGCGUGUCAAUGAAGACCGAGCACAGCCAAAAAUAGAUAAAUACAAUUUUUUUUUUUAAGCAAUAAGUUUAGAUUCUUUAGUACAACAUUAUUUAUGAAAAUAAAAAUAUCAAAUAUAAUCAAUUAGAAGAGUAAUACUGAUAUGUUCAUGAAGUGUUUAAAAAUGUUUAGGAAACAGUGCCGUUCAGAGCCUGGAUACAAGACCUAAAAGUUAAAUUUAAAAGUUUUAAAAGUUGUAUUAAAGUUCAAAUAUUUCUGUCACUCAACAGUUCUUAAGUUAGAGUGAUGCCAUUCCCCAGAGGGUAUUUGGAAAUAUACAAAAGCCAUCUGAGACUGUCACAGUGACUGCUGGCUAUUACCUACAUUCACAGACAAGAAUGUUAAAUGUAUUAUGACAUUUCAUAAAAUGUUAGUUCCCAGAAACUGUAAAAAUAAAUCUAAUGAUGUAUGUAA